AUAUUUACCUGACAGGGGAGAUACCAUGAUCUUGAAAGUGGUUUUCCCAGGGCAAGGCUCAUACAUAGCAUUCCAGGUGUACUGAUCCCUGAGAUUUUCACAAAUGUGGAAAACCUGACUGCAAAAGGUGAUC
rnacentral:snRNA from 1 species